CCUCCUCCUGAAUCAAUGGAUUCAGGCCACUACAACCUUCACAGAGUUAAAUGGAUUCCCGCAUGGAGUAGCUACUACUGCUGCCCUGAACAUAGCCAAACAGGGUAAUUUUCUCUGCAUUGACAUCCGACGAAACCUUUCGUCUGGUGACUCUGUUUUCAGUUUGCUGCUUCCACACGGUGAAAUCUGAAGUGCCACCGAUGAUCUGCAAUGUCAUUUCUAGCAACAAUGGAGCACAUGACCUUUAAAUUUUUCUUUAUAAUGUUUGCACAAAUUGAUUAAAUUGAGAUACUACAAUGUUGAUCCGUGGUUGAGACCACUUGCCAACCAAGUGAUCAGGGUUAGUACUUCAGUGCCUUCAAACCUCUUCAACUUUCUUUGGAUUGACACUUUUUCCUUUCACUAUAGGGAUUGCUAAUGAGGCACUGGACAAUGUGGUUCCGCUGCUUUUUUUUCUUUACUGUAUCUUGGAUGUGAAAAUUGGGAGAAUCAUCAUAUUUCUGAUAUUGCAGCUAUUUAGUUACAUUCAGAUUUGGUGUGUACAUAAGUACUAUGUUCAAAACAGACUUAAGAACAAAAAAGGUUGUGAUAGAAGUUCACUAACGACUUGUUCUAUGAUAAGAUACUGCAAGCGCAUGCUAAUUUACUACCUAGCUAAGAAGAUGAUCCACAUGGCGGCGUUUGAGAUCAUGCUACUGGAUGAGAAGGUGGGCUAUAGGUUGUUGGUUUGGAUCUGUAAUGUUAUAUAGGGUCUUCUAUUCUAUUUUUCUUUCAGGAAUAUGUACUAUAUACAUACUAAGAGCGAUCUCUCUGGUCUCCUCUCCCUCAUCCAACAGCACGUGCAGCGACGGUGAAGGCCACCACGUCAACCAUGGCCUCGGAGGCGACGAGAGCAGGGCGGCCGACGAGGAUGGAGACAGUUGCGACGCCAUGUGAGCUCGAUCGCGGAUGUUGAACUUUUUUUUUGACAUGUUUUUUCUUUUCAUUUUCUUCCUGUGAAUUUUGCGGAUAUUUGUAUGGCCAGAUAUUGAUUUUCACAUGCUUUUCAUAGUUAGGUUUGUUGAUUUGCUUGCAUAUUGUACUUCACCGAAAUCUUCUUGAUGAAUGACAUGGCCGUAAAAAAACGUUAGAAAAUCUGCACUUCUCGCCCUUAUUUUAGGCAUUGGUACCAGAUUAAUCAAGUUUUCUAUUCAUUCAGAGCUGCAUAUUCCAGAGUUGCACUUUCUGUCCAAUCUAAUUUUAUAUCUUGAUAUUUGGGAUCAAAAAAAUUAUUGCAGCCAAAAGUUGCAUCAUAUCCUGUUCCUUCUGGAAUAGCAAAGCUUUUCUAUCCUGUAGUAACUAGGCGACAGUUUUCAUCUUCCCCACUGAGAGGGGCAUACAAGCCAAUAUUUUAUUAUCUUCAAGAAAGCCUAGCUCUCUCUGAUGAGAAUGAUACCUGGUCUUGGAGAACUCCAGGGUUUAGCAUCUCUAAGGGAUAUAUAAAGUUCACACUGAAUAUUAUACCAUCCAUGGAAAUUUUCAUUUGUUAUGAAGUCAUGUAGUCAACUCAACCGUGUUGUUUUUCUUGACUUUACUUUUGGAUAGUCUGAACACAAGAGACAUGUUGCAGCGUAGAUUUUUUUUUUGAAAUAUUAGUGGUGUAUAUUGUAAAACGAACUCACAAUUGAGGGGAUCUCUCAUUCUUUCAACACAGUUUGCCUAGACAUGGCUAAAAUUAUCUUUCUUCAGAUCUCACGGCUACAAGUUCAGUUAAUAGUAACACUCGAAAUAUGUUGAUUGUCCCAUUUCUUAUGAAAAUUAUUACAUCAAUGUUCUGGAGUAUCUGGUGGCUAUUUUUCGUACUUUUUACCCUCCAAAAUAAAAUAUUGUAGCUCAUAUGGACCCUGAAACUGAUUCUGGUACCAGUAUGUUCAUGUUUUCUUUUCAACUGGAAUCCAAAAAUUUACAUCCAUGACUAUAUUUUCUUGACAGCUUUGAGAGAUGCAAACUAAAUAACUGUCUUUUCACAAAUUUUAGUUGUUAAUUGUUAGUAACCACCUGUUCAUAUGCUCCUGUUUUUUUCUAUCAUAUAUAGAUAAAUGAGCAAGGAUCCAUUUAGUUUGCGUUCCAAGUAUUCCAUUAGGGAUUGCACAUUAUUGAAAACUCUACAAGUCCGAGUAGUUUUGAUCUGUUUUGGUGCUACCUAGGUUGUGCACGAAUUAAUGAAUAUCAAUCAUUAUGGCUUCCUUUAUGGAAUCGAAACUGAUAAUACAUCUUAGAAUUGAUAUUUAGUUGGACCUUCCGGAGUACACAACUAUUAUUGAGCAAAUUUAUCGGAGUGGAGUAUGUAGUGUAUCAUAAUCCAAUACACUAUGCCCUUCAAUUUUUUAAUUGUCGUUGUAUUUUAUCAUUGUUUUCGUGUGCUUGAUUAGUUGAUUUUGUGAUAACACAAUGGAAGGGUUUCCGUAGCAGAUAGGGAUGGGCUUGGAUGGAUGAGAAAACACCCUGUUAAUGAUCUCUCGAGUUCAAUAGAACUAUAGUUGUCCCCUUUAUUUAAAAAUAUGAAUCAGGUUGUUUCCAUCGGGUGGAGGUAGAGACAGCAACUUAUUCCAUUUGGUUUUGUGGCAACACCAAAUCCUCACUAGAAAAAAAAAACUUUGGAUGGUCAAUGCAACUAUGCAGUGAAGAGGGAACAAUAGUUUAUUAUUUUUAUUGAGCAGCUCCAGAACAUAUUACAUGUGCUUGACUAUCUACUUCAGCUUAUUUCCAAAGGUGGUUGCUGUAAUGUCUCAACAACCUAACUAAGUAAAAAAGGUUUUAGAAGAUUCUACGGAGUGGUCCAUCCUUACAAGUCGUUUCUACAACUCAUUCCAGGUAUUUGAGGUUGCUUCUCUUUUGUAUGGAAAUCAAUCAGCCAUUUGCUUUCUCUGUGUUAAUGCAUUUGGAAAUGUUGUCUGAUCUGAGGUUGCCUCUAAAUAUGAUUACAAAAUAUUAUAUGCACAUACUACCUCCUCUAUCCAACUAUUGAAAAAUAUCUCUUCUAAGCUAUUUCUAACAUGUAGUUAUUCUCAUAAGUAUCAGCAAAAGGUACUUGUAUGCUUCAGUGAUAUUGGUUGGCGGUAUGAUCCAUAAUUUCUAGAGCCCACAAAAAAGCCAAUAUUGUUAUCAACCAGACAUGGUUUUUGAGUCGCGGCUCAAAAGUGAGUCGCCAAACCCCGCGACUCAUGUAUAGUCAAGCAAAAAAACGUGUAUAGU